UACGGAGGGUGCGAGCGUUGUUCGGAAUUACUGGGCGUAAAGGGCGCGUAGGCGGCCUUCUAAGUCGAACGUGAAAUCCCCGGGCUCAACCCGGGAACUGCGUCCGAUACUGGAAGGCUUGAAUCCGGGAGAGGAAUGCGGAAUUCCAGGUGUAGCGGUGAAAUGCGUAGAUAUCUGGAGGAACACCGGUGGCGAAGGCGGCAUCCUGGACCGGCAUUGACGCUGAGGCGCGAAAGCCAGGGGAGCAAACGGG
rnacentral:rRNA from 1 species